AGUCUUGAGGUGUUUACAUGUAGGAUUGCAAAUCCUAAGAAGCAGGCUAGGUAACCUGCCAGGACUU
rnacentral:tRNA from 1 species